GGGGGCGAAACGGGUUCGACGGGGGUAGAGAAGCUCAAGUUGCAUGCCGAGGUCCUGGGUGCUCGUUAAACAUCUGGGAACAAAGUAAACGCAGACGACUAUGCGUACGCCGUAGCCGCUUAAGCGGCUGCCGUUCCCUUGGCUGGCUCCCGCCCAGUCAUACGGAGCGUCGACUCAGCGGGAUAGUUUCCGGUGCGUCGCCUGCAGCACUGGAGAUGAAACUUCGUGGGCUAGCUGCGAUGGAAUCCUGCCCGUGGGAGAUCGCCGCAGCGAAACUUUAAACGCGGGAUAUGCAUGUAGACGCUUGGGUGGAAUGCUUUCGGACGCGGGUUCAACUCCCGCCGCCUCCACCA
rnacentral:tmRNA from 1 species